rnacentral:misc_RNA from 1 species
GAUUUAUUCCAAAGGAAGCCAUUGUGUUUAUAUGCUACCCUACUUGAUUUUUGUUUAUUGGUCUUUCAUCAAAAUGUUAGAAGGCGCUGCUUUUAACUGUCCAAUUAUGGAAGUGGAAUUUUUGUGAGAAAAGUACAAUUGAUCUAGACGAUUGUUGAUAUUGUUUCAUGCUUUCUGGCAUUGCCUAAUUUGAAAAACGUUGGCUUGAGGGGUAACUUUCAUGGGUUAGAUUAAGUUAGCUAUUAGCAUUACAUGGUAUUAACUUCUUUAUGGAUAGCGGUUGUGAAAGCUAAGAAAUUUAUUAUCACGGGAUAGAUGCUUUUUCAUCUUUACAAAACCCUCAA